UAUUGUGUAGUCUGUUUGUGUUAGUAUCUAUCGCGCGCGCAGCUCCUCGAGUCAGCUCGGCCGGCAAAGUACCUAGUCCAAUUUCUGCCAGUAUAAUACUUAUUGAUAAGAUAUUUUUCCCAUUCGACCGUCGCGCCUCCGAACAGACACGACGCAUUCCGAAGAAAAAGAAACGAAAUUAUAAUAAAUUGUAAUAAAAUUGCACAUUAAAUCAAAUAAUAGUGAAUAAUAGUAAAGCAAAAAUACAUAUUUAAAUAGGAGACAACAAAUUUCGUCAAAUGCUGAACAACAUCCAUAAACAUUUAUACAAAACAAAAAAGUGCAACGGGUAUAAGUAACGAGCCGUCAUCGCAUUCAAGGUUAAAUUGAAAACCCCGAUAAACCUUCCACGAGAUCACGCAAAUAUCACCCGACGGAAAGCAUAAUUAUUAUUAUGACAAUGGUUGCGGCGCCGCAUCCAGCCCGCUGGGAGGACUCCGCCGCGCUACCGUGUUGAAACCAAUGAGACUACGAAACGGCGGCGGCAAAUCGUUCCAGCACUUGGAUGCGGCGAAACUGAA